AUUGAACGCUGGCGGCAGGCUUAACACAUGCAAGUCGAGCGGAGAGAGGUAGCUUGCUACUGAUCUUAGCGGCGGACGGGUGAGUAAUGCUUAGGAAUCUGCCUAUUAGUGGGGGACAACAUUUCGAAAGGAAUGCUAAUACCGCAUACGUCCUACGGGAGAAAGCAGGGGAUCUUCGGACCUUGCGCUAAUAGAUGAGCCUAAGUCGGAUUAGCUAGUUGGUGGGGUAAAGGCCUACCAAGGCGACGAUCUGUAGCGGGUCUGAGAGGAUGAUCCGCGACACUGGGACUGAGACACGGCCCAGACUCCUACGGGAGGCAGCAGUGGGGAAUAUUGGACAAUGGGCGCAAGCCUGAUCCAGCCAUGCCGCGUGUGUGAAGAAGGCCUUAUGGUUGUAAAGCACUUUAAGCGAGGAGGAGGCUACUUUAGUUAAUACCUAGAGAUAGUGGACGUUGCUCGCAGAAUAAGCACCGGCUAACUCUGUGCCAGCCGCCGCAGUAAAAC
rnacentral:rRNA from 1 species